AGGAUGAACGCUGGCGGCGUGCUUAAGACAUGCAAGUCGAACGAAGCCUAAGUAGCAAUACUCGGGUUGAGUGGCGAAUGGGUGCGUAACACGUAGGUGACCUGCCCUGAAGCGGGGAAUAACAGUUCGAAAGGACUGCUAAUACCGCAUGUGGUUCUCAUCUUUUGAAAGUGAGAACGAAAGGUCGGCUUGCCGAUCACUUCAGGAGGGGCCUGCGGCCCAUCAGCUAGUUGGUAGGGUAACGGCCUACCAAGGCAACGACGGGUAGGGGACCUCAGAGGGUGACCCCCCACACUGGCACUGACACACGGGCCAGACUCCUGCGGGAGGCAGCAGUCGGGAAUAUUGCCCAAUGGCCAAAGGCUGAGGCAGCAACGCCGCGUGCGCGAUGAAGGCCUUCGGGUCGUAAAGCGCUUUUCGGGUGGAUGAGGAAGGACAGUACACCGAAUAAGGAACGGCUAACACGUGCCAGCAGCCGC
rnacentral:rRNA from 1 species